CCGCCUGGGGAGUACGGCCGCAAGGUUAAAACUCAAAUGAAUUGACGGGGGCCCGCACAAGCGGUGGAGCAUGUGGUUUAAUUCGAUGCAACGCGAAGAACCUUACCUGGUCUUGACAUCCACAGAACUUAGCAGAGAUGCUUUGGUGCCUUCGGGAACUGUGAGACAGGUGCUGCAUGGCUGUCGUCAGCUCGUGUUGUGAAAUGUUGGGUUAAGUCCCGCAACGAGCGCAACCCUUAUCCUUUGUUGCCAGCGGUCCGGCCGGGAACUCA
rnacentral:rRNA from 1 species